AAGGGCCUACGGGGGGCAGCAGUGGGGAAUAUUGCACAAUGGGGGAAACCCUGAUGCAGCGACGCCGCGUGAGUGAAGAAGUAUUUCGGUAUGUAAAGCUCUAUCAGCAGGGAAGAAACCCACCCUUUGGGGUGGCUGACGGUACCUGACUAAGAAGCCCCGGCUAACUACGUGCCAGCAGCCGCGGUAAUACGUAGGGGGCAAGCGUUAUCCGGAUUUACUGGGUGUAAAGGGCGUGUAGGCGGAUGUGCAAGUCAGUCGUGAAAUACCGGGGCUCAACCCCGGGGCUGCGAUUGAAACUGCAC
rnacentral:rRNA from 1 species